rnacentral:rRNA from 1 species
CGCGUAGGUGGCUAAGUCAGUCAGAUGUGAAAGCCCAGGGCUCAACCUUGGAACUGCACCUGAUACUGCUUGGCUAGAGUACGAUAGAGGGGAGUGGAAUUUCCGGUGUAGCGGUGAAAUGCGUAGAGAUCGGAAGGAACACCAGUGGCGAAGGCGACUCUCUGGAUUGAUACUGACACUGAGAUGCGAAAGCGUGGGGAGCAAACA